UUUGAAGUAUGACUGGAUUAUGUGGUUUGGCAUACGCUUAACUAUUUUGUUCUCUUAAGUCAGGAGACGUUUUUUAGAGGGUCCUCUUAAAACUUUUCAAUUCGUUACGAAUGUUGGUUCUUUCUGAUUAUUUAAUCGGUGAUUUGAAAAAAAGUAAGCAGUUUUGAUAAUAACAAACCACUAAUUAUGAUGUCAAAACAAGAGCGCAUACGAUUA
ensembl:ncRNA K07E3.10 ncRNA